rnacentral:rRNA from 1 species
ACGCUGGCGGCAGGCCUAACACAUGCAAGUCGAGCGGAAACGACACUAACAAUCCUUCGGGUGCGUUAAUGGGCGUCGAGCGGCGGACGGGUGAGUAAUGCCUAGGAAAUUGCCUUGAUGUGGGGGAUAACCAUUGGAAACGAUGGCUAAUACCGCAUAAUGCCUACGGGCCAAAGAGGGGGAUCUUCGGACCUCUCGCGUCAAGAUAUGCCUAGGUGGGAUUAGCUAGUUGGUGAGGUAAUGGCUCACCAAGGCGACGAUCCCUAGCUGGUCUGAGAGGAUGAUCAGCCACACUGGAACUGAGACACGGUCCAGACUCCUACGGGAGGCAGCAGUGGGGAAUAUUGCACAAUGGGCGAAAGCCUGAUGCAGCCAUGCCGCGUGUAUGAAGAAGGCCUUCGGGUUGUAAAGUACUUUCAGUUGUGAGGAAGGGUGUGUAGUUAAUAGCUGCRYAUCUUGACGUUAGCAACAGAAGAAGCACCGGCUAACUCCGUGCCAGCAGCCGCGGUAAUACGGAGGGUGCGAGCGUUAAUCGGAAUUACUGGGCGUAAAGCGCAUGCAGGUGGUUCAUUAAGUCAGAUGUGAAAGCCCGGGGCUCAACCUCGGAACUGCAUUUGAAACUGGUGAACUAGAGUGCUGUAGAGGGGGGUAGAAUUUCAGGUGUAGCGGUGAAAUGCGUAGAGAUCUGAAGGAAUACCAGUGGCGAAGGCGGCCCCCUGGACA